rnacentral:lncRNA from 1 species
GACACCAAAUUUUUUUGUUCAUAUAUAUAAUAAAAAAGAAUAAUGGUUUUAUAUCUAAGUUUAAUUUUAGAUUUUAUAACGGUUAGUAAACUAAAAUAUACCAUUAUAACCAUAAAAUGGUUACCAUAUUUAUAACCAUAGAAAUAAUAAUUAUUAUUAUUAAUACAUUUCUAAUAUAUUGAAACAUUAAUUAUAAAUUACAACAGUAGACAUUCAAUAAUAACACAAAUAUCCUAAAAUGAAGCACAAAUCAUAACUAUAUAAAUUCGACCCGUCAUCGCAAGCAUUAAGAGCAUCUUGAAUCAUCUUACAGCAGUCUUCUACCCUUUGGUUGGGUGGAUCAAAUUCAGUUACAAUAUCAACACAUCCUAAUAAUUUGUCUUCACUUGCAAUUGGUGGAGGUGGUUGAUCAGCAGUGACAACAGAAAAGAACAGAAGGCUGAGACAGAAGAAGAAGAAGAAGAAAAGAGGAAGUGAAGAGGUUUUGUUGGAAGAAAACAUUUGGAAGAACCCAAAAAAAGAAAUCCUUUGAGAGAUGUUUUUAGAGGGGUGAAAAGAGUGUGGUAAUGGGAAAGGUUUCUAUAGGGUUUUAAGGAAAGAGGGUGUGCAUCUUUACAGGGUCCUGUAGGAUAAACUCAUUGUUAAUUAACUUAGGUUCAUUAUCUAAAUUGAU